UACGUAGGCAGCAAGCGUUGUUCGGAGUUACUGGGCGUAAAGGGUGUGUAGGCGGUUCUCUAAGGUUGGUGGGAAAUCUCCCGGCUCAACUGGGAGGGUGCGCCGAAAACUGGAGAGCUAGAGUACUGGAUGGGAGAGUGGAAUUCCUGGUGUAGCGGUGAAAUGCGUAGAUAUCAGGAGGAACACCGGUGGUGUAGACGGCUCUCUGGACAGUAACUGACGCUGAGACACGAAAGCGUGGGUAGCAAACAGG
rnacentral:rRNA from 1 species